rnacentral:rRNA from 1 species
GAUGAACGCUGGCGGCGUGCUUAACACAUGCAAGUCGAACGGAAAGGCUCCUGCUUGCAGGGGUACUCGAGUGGCGAACGGGUGAGUAACACGUGGGUGAUCUGCCCUGCACUUCGGGAUAAGCCUGGGAAACUGGGUCUAAUACCGGAUAGGACCACAUUUUGGAUGGUGUGGUGGAAAGUUUUUCGGUGUGGGAUGAGCUCGCGGCCUAUCAGCUUGUUGGUGGGGUAAUGGCCUACCAAGGCGUCGACGGGUAGCCGGCCUGAGAGGGUGUACGGCCACAUUGGGACUGAGAUACGGCCCAGACUCCUACGGGAGGCAGCAGUGGGGAAUAUUGCACAGUGGGCGCAAGCCUGAUGCAGCGACGCCGCGUGGGGGAUGACGGCCUUCGGGUUGUAAACUCCUUUCGCUAGGGACGAAGCGCAAGUGACGGUACCUGGAGAAGAAGCACCGGCUAACUACGUG